GACGAACGCUGGCGGCGUGCUUAACACAUGCAAGUCGAACGAAGUGGCGAACGGGUGAGUAACGAGUAAUCAACCUGCCCUUCAGAGGGGGACAACAGUGGGAAACGACUGCUAAUACCGCAUAGUGAAGGAGGGGAUGGCGUCUGAUUAGCUAGUUGGAGGGGUACCGGCCCACCAAGGCGAUGAUCAGGCGCCGGUCUGGGAGGAUGAACGUCCACAUUGGGACUGAGCCACGGCCCAGACUCCUACCGGAGGCAGCAGUGGGGAAUCUUCCGCCAUGGACGAAAGUCUGACGGAGCAACGCCGCGUGAGUGAUGACGGCCUUCGGGUUGUAAAGCUCUGUUAAUCGGGACGCGGUACCGGAAUAGAAAGCCACGGCUAACUACGUGCCAGCAGCCGCGGUAAUUC
rnacentral:rRNA from 1 species